GACGAACGCUGGCGGCGUGCCUAAUACAUGCAAGUAGAACGCUGAAGGAGGAGCUUGCUCUUCUGGAUGAGUUGCGAACGGGUGAGUAACGCGUAGGUAACCUGCCUGGUAGCGGGGGAUAACGAUUGGAAACGAUAGCUAAUACCGCAUAAGAGUAGAUGUUGCAUGACAUUUACUUAAAAGGUGCAAUUGCAUCACUACCAGAUGGACCUGCGUUGUAUUAGCUAGUUGGUGGGGUAACGGCUUACCAAGGCGACGAUACAUAGCCGACCGGAGAGGGUGAUCGGCCACACUGGGACUGGGACACGGCCCAGACUCCUACGGGAGGCAGCAGUAGGGAAUCUUCGGCAAUGGACGGAAGUCUGACCGAGCAACGCCGCGUGAGUGAAGAAGGUUUUCGGAUCGUAAAGCUCUGUUGUAAGAGAAGAACGAGUGUGAGAGUGGAAAGUUCACACUGUGACGGUAUCUUACCAGAAAGGGACGGCUAACUACGUG
rnacentral:rRNA from 1 species